rnacentral:rRNA from 1 species
CCUACGUGGGGCUGCAGUGGGGAAUAUUGCACAAUGGGGGAAACCCUGAUGCAGCGACGCCGCGUGAGUGAAGAAGUAUUUCGGUACGUAAAGCUCUAUCAGCAGGGAAGAAAAUGACGGUACCUGACUAAGAAGCCCCGGCUAACUCCGUGCCAGCAGCCGCGGUAAUACGUAGGGGGAAAGCGUUAUCCGGACUUACUGGGGGAAACGGGAGCGUAGACGGCAGCGCAAGUCUGGCGUGAAAUCCCAUGGCUUAACCAUGGAACUGCUUUGGAAACUGUGCAGCUGGAGUGCAGGAGAGGUGAGCGGAAUUCCUAGUGUAGCGGUGAAAUGCAUAGAGAUCACGCAGAACUCCGAUUGCGAAGGCAGCAUACCGGCGCUCAACUGACGCUCAUGCACGAAAGUGUGGGUAUCGAACAGGAUUAGAUACCCCAGUAGUC